rnacentral:lncRNA from 1 species
AGGUGGUUGAGGGGGAUGUAGCACAUCAGCAACUCAUCCAGGAAUUAUGCCUAGUAUCCAACCAACUCCAUCCACUCAACAUUCAGAAAUAGCACAUCAGUCUCAACCUCAACCCUAGUGCACAGUAGGAAGUCCCUUUUGUAAUAUUUUAAGCCUAUAUAACAUUAUGUUUUUGUCUUCCAUUUUGUAAUAUUUUGAGCUACUGUUGUUGAAAACAUAUGGAAAAUACUGGCUUUAUUGUUAUUUUGGUUUGUAUGGAAAAUACUGGUUUUAGUUGGAGUGAAUCGAAUGAAAUGAUAGCUACUGGUUAUAUGUGUAUAGUAUAUAUGCAUACUCUUUUCCUGCACCUACUGCUUUUAUGUCACUUCCACUUCCCUUCCUUUGAUCAUGAAUCGUGUUUGGUGGAUUUUAGUGGAUUUUAGUCUGGUCAGUGUUUGGUGGUUCAUCACAUGACAAGUUCCAAUCACACAUGACAGGUUCCAAUCAAAGAACAGUUUGCAGUUAAAACUGAUAUUGUUAUAUCUUCUGCUUGUUCAUUACUUGAUAACUGAUAAAGUUAGGUCAAUUUGAAACAGAUUAAGGUUGAUUUGAAGCUAUCAAGUAAGGUCAAUUAGAUUUUAUUGAAUUAGCUUGGCUUACUUUCGUGCUGACAGGAUUUCUUUAAUAUUAAAGUUACUUUAAGUGAAUGAUGUAACGAAGGUAUAAAGCAUCAUUCAUAAAAUAUUCCUGUGAGAACUUGUUGCAGAGGCUUCCAAAACUUUCAAGGAGGAGCACAAUUCCAUAUCAGACUGAGUAAGCUGAUCAUAGAAAUUACAAUCAAAAAUAUUCCUGGCAAGUUUUAGACAUGUAUCAUCCUUAUAAUCAAAGGAAAUUUAAUAGUCCCCACCAACUCUAUUAUUGUUGUGGCUCCCUGUUUUGGGUGCCUAGGAAGUUGGAUUUUUUCUUCAGAAUUAGAAUAAUGAAACAAUGCAUUUAACCAGCUACAGCAAGAAACAAACUUCACUUUCUGUAUUAAUGUCCUGAAUAUAACAAACGUUAUGCAUUUAAUAAGACAACUAGCCGG